UACGUAGGUGGCAAGCGUUAUCCGGAUUCAUUGGGCGUAAAGCGCGCGUAGGUGGUCCUUCAAGUCAGAUGUGAAAUCUCCCGGCUUAACUGGGAGCGGUCAUCUGAUACUGCUGGACUUGAGGAUGGUAGAGGGAGGUGGAAUUCCCGGUGUAGUGGUGAAAUGCGUAGAUAUCGGGAGGAACACCAGUGGCGAAAGCGGCCUCCUAGGCCAUACCUGACACUGAGGCGCGAAAGCGUGGGGAGCGAACAGGAUCAGAUACC
rnacentral:rRNA from 1 species